UACGUAGGGGGCAAGCGUUGUCCGGAUUUAUUGGGCGUAAAGCGCGUGUAGGCGGCUAGAUAGGUCCGCUGUGAAAACUUGAGGCUCAACCUCAAGAGGUCGGUGGAAACCAUCUGGCUAGAGUCCGGAAGAGGAGAGUGGAAUUCCUGGUGUAGCGGUGAAAUGCGCAGAUAUCAGGAAGAACACCCGUGGCGAAGGCGGGUCUCUGGACAGUUCCUGACGCUGAGGCACGAAGGUCAGGGGAGCAAACGGG
rnacentral:rRNA from 1 species